GGGACACGUGGUAUCCUGUCUGAAUAUGGGGGGACCAUCCUCCAAGGCUAAAUACUCCUGACUGACCGAUAGUGAACCAGUACCGUGAGGGAAAGGCGAAAAGAACCCCGGCGAGGGGAGUGAAAAAGAACCUGAAACCGUGUACGUACAAGCAGUGGGAGCCUCUUUAUGGGGUGACUGCGUACCUUUUGUAUAAUGGGUCAGCGACUUAUAUUCUGUAGCAAGGUUAACCGAAUAGGGGAGCCGAAGGGAAACCGAGUCUUAACUGGGCGUUAAGUUGCAGGGUAUAGACCCGAAACCCGGUGAUCUAGCCAUGGGCAGGUUGAAGGUUGGGUAACACUAACUGGAGGACCGAACCGACUAAUGUUGAAAAAUUAGCGGAUGACUUGUGGCUGGGGGUGAAAGGCCAAUCAAACCGGGAGAUAGCUGGUUCUCCCCGAAAGCUAUUUAGGUAGCGCCUCGUGAAUUCAUCUCCGGGGGUAGAGCACUGUUUCGGCAAGGGGGUCAUCCCGACUUACCAACCCGAUGCAAACUGCGAAUACCGGAGAAUGUUAUCACGGGAGACACACGGCGGGUGCUAACGUCCGUCGUGAAGAGGGAAACAACCCAGACCGCCAGCUAAGGUCCCAAAGUCAUGGUUAAGUGGGAAACGAUGUGGGAAGGCCCAGACAGCCAGGAUGUUGGCUUAGAAGCAGCCAUCAUUUAAAGAAAGCGUAAUAGCUCACUGGUCGAGUCGGCCUGCGCGGAAGAUGUAACGGGGCUAAACCAUGCACCGAAGCUGCGGCAGCGACACUAAGUGUUGUUGGGUAGGGGAGCGUUCUGUAAGCCUGUGAAGGUGUACUGUGAGGUAUGCUGGAGGUAUCAGAAGUGCGAAUGCUGACAUAAGUAACGAUAAAGCGGGUGAAAAGCCCGCUCGCCGGAAGACCAAGGGUUCCUGUCCAACGUUAAUCGGGGCAGGGUGAGUCGACCCCUAAGGCGAGGCCGAAAGGCGUAGUCGAUGGGAAACAGGUUAAUAUUCCUGUACUUGGUGUUACUGCGAAGGGGGGACGGAGAAGGCUAUGUUGGCCGGGCGACGGUUGUCCCGGUUUAAGCGUGUAGGCUGGUUUUCCAGGCAAAUCCGGAAAAUCAAGGCUGAGGCGUGAUGACGAGGCACUACGGUGCUGAAGCAACAAAUGCCCUGCUUCCAGGAAAAGCCUCUAAGCAUCAGGUAACAUCAAAUCGUACCCCAAACCGACACAGGUGGUCAGGUAGAGAAUACCAAGGCGCUUGAGAGAACUCGGGUGAAGGAACUAGGCAAAAUGGUGCCGUAACUUCGGGAGAAGGCACGCUGAUAUGUAGGUGAAGCGACUUGCUCGUGGAGCUGAAAUCAGUCGAAGAUACCAGCUGGCUGCAACUGUUUAUUAAAAACACAGCACUGUGCAAACACGAAAGUGGACGUAUACGGUGUGACGCCUGCCCGGUGCCGGAAGGUUAAUUGAUGGGGUUAGCGCAAGCGAAGCUCUUGAUCGAAGCCCCGGUAAACGGCGGCCGUAACUAUAACGGUCCUAAGGUAGCGAAAUUCCUUGUCGGGUAAGUUCCGACCUGCACGAAUGGCGUAAUGAUGGCCAGGCUGUCUCCACCCGAGACUCAGUGAAAUUGAACUCGCUGUGAAGAUGCAGUGUACCCGCGGCAAGACGGAAAGACCCCGUGAACCUUUACUAUAGCUUGACACUGAACAUUGAGCCUUGAUGUGUAGGAUAGGUGGGAGGCUUUGAAGUGUGGACGCCAGUCUGCAUGGAGCCGACCUUGAAAUACCACCCUUUAAUGUUUGAUGUUCUAACGUUGGCCCCUGAUCGGGGUUGCGGACAGUGUCUGGUGGGUAGUUUGACUGGGGCGGUCUCCUCCUAAAGAGUAACGGAGGAGCACGAAGGUUGGCUAAUCCUGGUCGGACAUCAGGAGGUUAGUGCAAUGGCAUAAGCCAGCUUGACUGCGAGCGUGACGGCGCGAGCAGGUGCGAAAGCAGGUCAUAGUGAUCCGGUGGUUCUGAAUGGAAGGGCCAUCGCUCAACGGAUAAAAGGUACUCCGGGGAUAACAGGCUGAUACCGCCCAAGAGUUCAUAUCGACGGCGGUGUUUGGCACCUCGAUGUCGGCUCAUCACAUCCUGGGGCUGAAGUAGGUCCCAAGGGUAUGGCUGUUCGCCAUUUAAAGUGGUACGCGAGCUGGGUUUAGAACGUCGUGAGACAGUUCGGUCCCUAUCUGCCGUGGGCGCUGGAGAACUGAGGGGGGCUGCUCCUAGUACGAGAGGACCGGAGUGGACGCAUCACUGGUGUUCGGGUUGUCAUGCCAAUGGCACUGCCCGGUAGCUAAAUGCGGAAGAGAUAAGUGCUGAAAGCAUCUAAGCACGAAACUUGCCCCGAGAUGAGUUCUCCCUGACUCCUUGAGA
rnacentral:rRNA from 1 species